CGCAGUCCCAGCUGCAGGCGCCAUAUGUUACAGCGGGAGGAGCUGAGCGGAUUGAUGAGUAUUUUUGUGGGAAAAGAAUCAUCUCUUUUCUAUGCCCCUUGGCCUUUUUGUCCGAUCGCCCACAUACAUGCACUCUUGGAUUGAUUGAGCGUGCAUAUGUUUUUAAUGUAGAGACAAGGAGUUAUCUGUUGAAAGGCUCCUUCUGCAGUGGCUUAUGGGACAUACAACGGGACUGGACAGGACCCAAAGGUGUAGUCUAAUACACCAAAAAUAGUAUACAUGCAGGAAACGGGCCAACCAAAGUCACCAGGAGACUAUCUCCGGUCCAUCAAACUCAAUGGGACACCAUAAAGUUCCUCCAAUGUCCUUUCAAAGUUGAACACUUCCUUUGGCACCUGCUGAAGGCUGCAGUGGGAAUAAUCCAGAACCGAUAUUAUCUCUUCUUCUCCUCGGAAACAUCUGCACGGGACGAGCCGCCCG